UGACCCAGCCAUGCCGCGUGCAGGAAGACGGCCCUAUGGGUUGUAAACUGCUUUUCUGAGGGACUAAUUUCUCAUACGGGUUAUGAGAUUGCAUGUACUUCAGGAAUAAGCAUCGGCUAACUCCGUGCCAGCAGCCGCGGUAAUACGGAGGAUGCGAGCGUUAUCCGGACUUAUUGGGUUUAAAGGGUGCGUAGGCUGACAAGUAAGUCAGUGGUGAAAUGUCAUGGCUCAACCAUGGACUUGCCAUUGAUACUGUUUGUCUGGAGUGUAUUGGAAGUUGGUGGAACGAGGGGUGUAGCGGUGAAAUGCAUAGAUAUUCCUCAGAACGCCGAUAGCGCAGGCAACUGACUACGAUACAACUGACGCUGAGGCACGAAAGCGUGGGGAUCAAACAGGAUUAGAUACCCUGGUAGUCCACGCUGUAAACGAUGAUCACUAGCUGUUUGCGAUAUACAGUAAGUGGCUAAGCGAAAGCGAUAAGUGAUCCACCUGGGGAGUACGUCGGCAACGAUGAAACUCAAAGGAAUUGACGGGGGCCCGCACAAGCGGAGGAGCAUGUGGUUUAAUUCGAUGAUACGCGAGGAACCUUACCUGGGCUAGAACGUAUGGUGCAUGGCGGAGAAAUUCGCCUUUCCCUAGGGACUCUAUACGAGGUGCUGCAUGGCUGUCGUCAGCUCGUGCCGUGAGGUGUUAGGUUAAGUCCUGCAACGAGCGCAACCCCUGUUUCCAGUUGCCAGCACAUAAAGGUGGGGACUCUGGAGAGACUG
rnacentral:rRNA from 1 species